AAAAGGUAAUGCCACUUUGGAGGAGCAUUUUAAAACAAGAGCAAAAUCUGGCAACUUGUUCCGUGCCCUCAGUGCCUGUAGUCCUAACCGGACUCCUUGAUCACGGCUUCCAUCGCCUCCUUUCAUGUUGCUUACAAAGUUACUCUAUGCAAAAACGUCGUGACUGAUUUACUUUAAGAAAGGAAAGAUAAAUCCGUUCUGAAGGUGGGAGAUGGUUGAUCUUUGGGCUCGAGUCGAGCACAGAUUGUGAACAAUCUCUGCGCAGAUUUAACGCAGGGGAUGUGCCAGGUGACUGGCAGCAGGGGCACACCAGAGCACAUCACCAUGCAGGGCACCACUGUAAUGAGGUGGAAAGGUGACCUGCUGUCAGAUUUCAUUAUUUCAGACUUGGAGAUGAACUUCCCUCAAAACUGCUUGCCAUCCCAUGCAUCUCUGCACUAACCCUCCUGCCAGCCCUAUCUGCUCUCCUCCUUUUUGAGGCGUCAUGGAAGCUCCGUAUGAAGCCAUAUCCUGAAGUGACACAGGCUUCUCCCUGCAAUGCCCUGAAAGAAGGUUGUAGCGAGUUGGAGGUCGGCAUCUUUUCCCAGGCACAGACAGCUGAUCAAUACGGCUUGCAACCGUGCUGCUCUUCCGAGGCUCAUCUUGCAAACUCCACUGAGGGCACAGAGCCUUUCCCAUUCAUUCAGGGGAGGUGAGCAGGAGAAGAGCAGCCCAGCUGGAGGACAGCCUGGAGAUGCAGAGCACCACCCCAGAGCAUCAGCAGCCUGCUGAUUGCUCCUAAUGAGAGAGUGAAAAGCAAGGUCUAUCUCACCAGUAUGCGCACACAUGGAGCCAGCACAGGAGGCUGAUGCCUGACCGACUCACUCCUGUGAUGGAAAUGUGUUUGCUGGGCUGUGGCAAGGGAUGGAGGCAAUGUCCAUUCCACUUUCUGCAUCAGGAGGAACGGCCUCGUCCAGCAACUCUUCUGAGCUCUCUUGAAAAUACUGAGUGCCUGAUGAGUGUUGCUGUUGGACAAUGGGUUCCUGCUUUUCAGGAGGCUGAAGGUUACGUAUGCAAGUUGAAUCUGGGAACUGGGAAUUGGUGGUGUCUGCCUGCAUUUUGGAGAGAACUCUGGGGUGACCAGUGGCUCCCAGUCCAACCCAGUCCAAUCCAACCCAAUCCGAUGGGAGAACAAGACCAAAGGAAAGAGGCCACGGAGCUGCUAAAGGGCACAAAACCAGCAGUAAGAGGGUGCAGUGGUUAAAUCUUUGCACGUUUUCCCCAUUCAUUCCUCCUAAGGCAACAUCUUUAUUGUGGUCUUUGCUCCUACACAAGCCCACAC
ensembl:lncRNA